rnacentral:rRNA from 1 species
CGAAUGCUGACAUAAGUAACGAUAAAGCGGGUGAAAAGCCCGCUCGCCGGAAGACCAAGGGUUCCUGUCCAACGUUAAUCGGGGCAGGGUGAGUCGACCCCUAAGGCGAGGCCGAAAGGCGUAGUCGAUGGGAAACAGGUUAAUAUUCCUGUACUUGGUGUUACUGCGAAGGGGGGACGGAGAAGGCUAUGUUGGCCGGGCGACGGUUGUCCCGGUUUAAGCGUGUAGGCUGGUUUUCCA